UUAAGAUACUAAGAGCAUACGGUGGAUGCCUUGGCGAUAUCUGCCGACGAAGGACGUGACAAGCUGCGAAAAGCUGCGGAGAGAUGCAAAUAAUCGGCGACCCGCAGACAUCCGAAUGGAGAAAUCCGGCUGUGAUGAUGCACAGCCAUCCAUGCCCAAGAGCAUGAGAAGGGAACCGGGCGAACUGAAACAUCUAAGUAACCCGAGGAAAAGAAAUCAAACGAGAUACCCCAAGUAGCGGCGAGCGAACAGGGAAGAAGCCCAAACCGGUGAAGGAAACUUUGCCGGGGUUGAGGACCAUCAGACCCGCGAAGAACUUUAGCCGAAACUGUUGGGAAACAGUGCCGAAGACAGUGAAAGCCUGGUAGGCGAAAAAGAGAAACGCGGAGAUGGCACCAGAGUACCGCGGGACACGAGAAAUCCCGUGGGAAGCAGGGGGGACCACCCUCCAAGGCAAAACACAGAUAUCGACCGAUAGCGCAUAGUACCGUGAGGGAAAGGUGAAAAGCACCCCGGGAGGGGAAUGAAAGAGAACCUGAAACCGUAUGUUUACAAGCAGUCGGAGACCGCUUAAUAAUAAGGUCGACGGCGUGCCUAUUGAAGAAUGAACCGGCGAGUUACGAAGCCUGGCAAGGUUAAGCAGGAAAUGCGGAGCCGAAGCGAAAGCGAGUCUUAAGAGGGCGCAAGUCAGGAAGCGUAGACCCGAAACCACAGUGAUCUACCCAUGUCCAGGUUGAAACACAGGUAAAAAUGUGUGGAGGACCGAACCUAUAUCCGUUGAAAAGGGUUAGGAUGAGGUGUGGGUAGGGGUGAAAUUCCAAUCGAACGUGGAGAUAGCUGGUUCUCCCCGAAAUAGCUUUAGGGCUAGCCUCAGGGAAAAGAUUGCAGGCGGUAGAGCACUGAUCAGGAGAGGGACCUACCCGGUUACCAAACCCAGUCAAACUCCGAAUGGCUGCAAUCAUACCUGGGAGUCAGACUGCGACUAAUAAGGGCCGCAGUCAAAAGGGAAACAGCCCAGACCAUCAGCUAAGGUCCCCAAUGCCGUGCUAAGUGGCAAAGGAUGUGGCAUUUCAUAAACAACCAGGAUGUUGGCUCAGAAGCAGCCACCAUUUAAAGAGUGCGUAAUAGCUCACUGGUCGAGAGACGCUGCGCCGAAAAUGUCCGGGGCUCAAGCACGGAACCGAAGCUAUGGCAUGAUAGCAAUAUCAUGGGUAGGGGAGCGUUCUUAUAAGGAAGAAGCAUGACCGGAAGGACAUGUGGACAAAUAAGAAGUGAGAAUGCCGGUAUGAGUAUCGAAAAGAAAGGUGAGAAUCCUUUCCACCGAAAGCCCGAGGGUUCCUGAGCAACGAUCGUCGACUCAGGGUAAGUCGGGACCUAAGCCGAGGCGGAAAGCGUAGGCGAUGGACAACAGGUUGAAAUUCCUGUACCGGAUCAAGUCGAUUGAGCGAAGGAGCGACGCAGGAGGGCACAUGAUCGCGCGGGUGGAAGAGCGCGUCCAAGUGCGUAUGUUGCAGCAGAGGAAAACCCCUGCAGCUGAAAGCAGAGACAUGAAGGGGAGUUAAAGGAAACUUUGACGAACUCAUGAAUCCCACACUGCCAAGAAAAACUUCUAGCGAGACAAGAUCCGCCCGUACCGUAAACCGACACAGGUAGGCGGGGAGAGAAUCCUAAGGUGCGCGGGAAAACCCUCGUUAAGGAACUCGGCAAAUUGCAUCCGUAACCUAGGGAGAAGGAUGGCCCCCGGUCAGUGAAGAGCAGAAACGCUCAGAGCUAAAAGGGGCGGCAGAAAAGAGGCCCAAGCAACUGUUUACCAAAAACACAGGUGCCUGCGAAAGCGAAAGCUGAAGUAUAGGUGCUGACGCCUGCCCGGUGCCGGAAGGUUAAGGAGAGAAGUUAGCGAAAGCGAAGCAUCGAACUGAAGCCCCGGUGAACGGCGGCCGUAACUAUAACGGUCCUAAGGUAGCGAAAUUCCUUGUCGGGUAAG
rnacentral:rRNA from 1 species